CGAACGCUGGCGGCGUGCUUAACACAUGCAAGUCGAACGAUGAUGCCCAGCUUGCUGGGUGGAUUAGUGGCGAACGGGUGAGUAACACGUGAGUAACCUGCCCCUGACUCUGGGAUAAGCGUUGGAAACGACGUCUAAUACUGGAUAUGAUCACUGGCCGCAUGGUCUGGUGGUGGAAAGAUUUUUUGGUUGGGGAUGGACUCGCGGCCUAUCAGCUUGUUGGUGAGGUAAUGGCUCACCAAGGCGACGACGGGUAGCCGGCCUGAGAGGGUGACCGGCCACACUGGGACUGAGACACGGCCCAGACUCCUACGGGAGGCAGCAGUGGGGAAUAUUGCACAAUGGGCGAAAGCCUGAUGCAGCAACGCCGCGUGAGGGAUGACGGCCUUCGGGUUGUAAACCUCUUUUAGUAGGGAAGAAGCGAAAGUGACGGUACCUGCAGAAAAAGCACCGGCUAACUACGUGCCAGCAGCCGCGGUAAUACGUAGGGUGCAAGCGUUGUCCGGAAUUAUUGGGCGUAAAGAGCUCGUAGGCGGUUUGUCGCGUCUGCUGUGAAAUCCCGAGGCUCAACCUCGGGCUUGCAGUGGGUACGGGCAGACUAGAGUGCGGUAGGGGAGAUUGGAAUUCCUGGUGUAGCGGUGGAAUGCGCAGAUAUCAGGAGGAACACCGAUGGCGAAGGCAGAUCUCUGGGCCGUAACUGACGCUGAGGAGCGAAAGCAUGGGGAGCGAACAGGAUUAG
rnacentral:rRNA from 1 species